CUGAAUUGACUACAGGGGAAAAUAAUUGGGGGAAAGAGCGAUGAGGAAAGUGGGGGAGGAAAUGUCUCCCUCAGAUGCAAAGGCAUUUCCCUUCCCUUCCCUCCCCUUCGCCCCGGCUUACAUUUUCUGCACGGGUUUCCGCCGCUUGCGGCUGGCGUAGGUGACAUUGGGGUUCAUCCUCCUGCUGCUCCCGCUGCUCCCGCCGCGGCUCCAGCGCCUCCGGCCUCAAGAGAUUGUUAUUUGUGUGUGUCAAAUGUAUACGCUUCAAAACACACACACCAAAAGCACCCCACCCCACCCCCCCACCCCCUUUGAGGCCUCCCACCAGCGAGUGGUAAAGGCAGAAUCUCCUCAGAGAAGAAGCAGGUCGCGCGGCCCGGCCUCCUCCGCCCCGCCGUCAAUCCCACUCCAGAGUCCCUUCUUCGGCUGAGAGGAAGGGAGGGAGGAGGGGAGCCAGGUGCUUGGCGCCGGCAACACCCACUCGUCGCCGCCGUCGUCGUCCUCCUCGCUCCGUUUUCGGGGCGGAGAGACAGGUGCGGAGGCGGCCACUCCGUCCCUCCUCCUUCUCCUCAGAGAGAGAGAGAGAAGCCUCCCUUCUCUUCCUUUCCCGUCAGCACAGCCGCCGUCCUCAGGGAGGAAGGAGGGCCUCGCCUCACGCACAGGCGCUCCCUCCGUUUAUUCGCUCUUUCUGCCUCGGUCUCAGCGUCGGGAGCCGAGCCUUCGCUCUCCUUGCAGGCCCGGCCCACCGCCCACCGAGCAGCAGCAGCAGCAGGAGGAGGAGGCCUCGGUGGGGAGGCGCCGGGAGGCGUCAAGGGGGCGGCGCGGCGCCAUGUUGGGAAGGGUUCUUUGAAGAAAAACUCAGUGGAGGAUGGAUGUUUGAUGAGCCCCUUUCCCCAUCCCUCACACAUCCUUCCAAAAUCCAAGACAAAAUUAAAUCUGAAAAACUCCUGGCUCCAAGCAUUUUGGAUAAAGAAGACUCAACCUGUGUUUUUUGCCUUUAAACAAUAUUGGAUGACAACUUGGGCUCUGAAUAAAAGAGUGUUCUAGGCUUGUAUGGAUGGCUGAUGUUCCUUAAUUGUCCCCGAAUGCCUCUUUACCAAGGAAUGCAGACAUUUUUCAUAAGGGGCAGUCAUUUCCUCCAGCAAUAUUAGAUAAUGAAUCUGGCAGUUUCUGUCACUUUGAUAUUUUAUUAUCUAUCUAGACAUACAUUUGGUUUACUUUAUUUACCCAGCAUUUUUUUAAAAAAAUCAGUAUGAAAGUUAUGUUCAUUUUUUGAACAUUUAUCCUAAUAUUUACUAUAUUUUUGAUUGCUACCUUUUGUUUUCUGGGCCUUGCAACUUUGUCUUCAAGGAACUAGACACUUAAAUCAGUCAGGGAAUCAUCUGUAUCAUCCCACACCAUCAUAUUCUUCAGUUUCUUGUUCUCCAUGGGAGCAUCUCUGCAAUGGACUGGACUUUUAAACCUACCAAUAAUCAGCUAUUCUUCCUGCCAUAGGGAUCGCCUUUUCCUGGCAGAGAAACCUCCAGCUAAUCCCUGCACGGAUCCUAGCCAGCCCAUUUAUCAACCAAUCAGAAGGAGGCAUGUGAAGUCGGAAUAGCUGUCAGAGGUGUAUAAAAUGUGUUGUAUUUUUCUAUGAAGUUGUGUUUUUACAUUUUGAGUGUUGGCUUGGUACUUGCACUCCUUUUGGCCAAACUGUAAUAAAUCUGUACUUUGCCUUCAACCCAGAGUGUUUUGUUCUCUGUCCUGGCUGAUCUGGUUUAGUGGAAGCUCACAGGGCACAGACCUUCUUAUCUGCAGUACUGGCUGAAAUCACUUAAUUUCAAUGAUUUUAAGGAUCAUUAAAUAAAGUUGACGUGAAAGAAAUAAUUUCAUAAAAUGUUCCAGAUCAAUUUCAAGAACUAUGGAUUUAAAUGUUCUCACCAGCUGAAUGAACAGCACAUUAAAAAUUAAAUAAAUUGAUAAGUCUCAGAAGUUUUGCUAAAACAAACAAAAACAUUUGAUAUCUUCCUCCCCCCAAAUAAUUUUGUUUUCUCUUUGACAAGUCAGCAAUUUUGUUGGUUAUCACUUUUGAUACAACUGAAUAUAGGAAACAUGCUGAUUGAAAGCUGUACUUGGUUUGAUGUCAGAUCAUGAAGGGGAAUUUUUGAAACGGGAAGAAAGAUUAAGAAAGUGUGAUGGUGGGUAGUAUUUUUACCCUUCACCAGUAUGCUUGAAAAGUACAUUCAUCAAACUUUAUGAAACAAGAAAGAUUGUAGAGCAUGUUGUGGUUUUGAAAAAAAAUUACAGGCAACUUUGUUUCUUUCAACAAGAAAAAGUAUGUUGGCCUCCAUUUCAAAGUUUAAAUGCCCUUUGGUACAUGGACCAUAAUUUAUCAAAAUUACUUGGAUCAGUUUUUAAAAUACAAUGGGAAUGAGCAAAGUAAAUCGCUCAUUGAUGGCAUUGUUCAAAAUCUAACCAGUGUUUUCUUUUAUUUAAAGUAUGGGCCAACAUAACCCUCAACCAUCCCAAUUUGCCUGGGAUAGUCCCAGUUAAUCUGCCAGCUCAAUUUUUCAGCUGCUUUAAAAAUGUCCCAGAUGUUUGCUUAAACACUUUGCUUUUAAUAGAGCUCAUUUUCAAGUAUGUAUGCAGAGGCUCAGCAAAAGUAAUUUGCAAAGUACUUUACAAGUUAUUUCCUCCAAAUCUACAAAAGAAACAAGUAUGCCAUUGUUCAUUUUUUUCUGAUGACAUAGCCAUAGACUAUUUUUGAGAAGAAGGAACUGGCAAAACCACAUCUGAAUAUUCCUUGCCUAAGAAAACCCUAUGAAAUUAUUGGAUCACCAUAAGACACAGGACAGCGUGACACAAAGACAUAACUGAGACUGAGAAGUAUUUGCUCAGUAUUUGAGAAUGGAAAUUUGUGAAUCCAUGCUUCCAAGUUCCCAUUCUGUAUAUUGGGCUAUAGUAAUUUUACAAACGUAAAAAAACAUUAAAAACACUAGUAGGAAUAUUGCACAUGUUUACAGUUAGUACAUAUAAUACAGCUUGCUCAAACUUCAGUUGAAUUUCAGUGGAUUUAAAUAAACAAAGAAUUCAUUUAUCUUUUGCUCAUCAACAUUGAUGCAUUCCUGAGAUUUCUUUUUUCACAGGUAAGAAGCCAGUCUUAGAAACAAUGUUGACAAACCAGGUUUUUUUUCUUUUCAAGAGAAAGAAGAAAUGCCUUUGGGGGCUGGUGACAGACUUCUGCAAAAAAAAAAUCAUGUCUUCUCCAAUGUUUAAGUUAAAGUAGUCAUGUAAUUAAAUGGAAGCUUUACACAAAUGAGAAAGUGUGUGUAGUUUCCAUUUAAUUACAAUACUGCUGUUAAGGAUGUACUCCUUUCCAUGUUUAUUUGGAAUUAACCAUGUGGGUUUUUAUAUCUACUCAGAAAUCUCAUCAAGUUGCAAUAGAAUCUGUUUCUAAAAACAUAUGUCCCACCCAUUUCGUGUUCCACCAGAGGGGAUAAUACAUUAUAGAAGGACAUGGGAGCCUUUUCUUUAUGUCCCACCGUCAGGAAAUACCUUCAACUUAGAAUCCCAACGGGUAUCAAUGUUGGCUUCAUUUUGGUGCCAGAUUAAAACAUAAGCGUUACAUUGGUUCAACCCACUUUACCCCACAAUAAGAUCUGGAAAAUCUUGAACAUUCUCGUAGACCUCCAGGAGUGGCAUCACAGUCACUGUGCAUUAUUGGACCCAUUGAGACAAUGCCUAAGGGUUCCUAACUUAGCCUGGACCCAAACCAUUACUAUUUCAAGUUCAUCUUGUCACUUGUAUGCCUACCCAGAACUUUGUGGAUAAGUUUCAAGGUAUAUGACUGCAGAUACGUCUCUUAUCCCUCCAUACACACACACAAUGAAAGCAGAUGCAUAUGCUUGUAUGGACAACAUCUAAUUAUAGAAAACACAGG
rnacentral:lncRNA from 1 species